rnacentral:rRNA from 1 species
AACGAACGCUGGCGGCAUGCCUAACACAUGCAAGUCGAACGAGACCUUCGGGUCUAGUGGCGCACGGGUGCGUAACGCGUGGGAACCUGCCCUUAGGUUCGGAAUAACUCCCCGAAAGGGGUGCUAAUACCGGAUAAUGUCUUCGGACCAAAGAUUUAUCGCCUUUGGAUGGGCCCGCGUUGGAUUAGCUAGUUGGUAGGGUAAAAGCCUACCAAGGCGACGAUCCAUAGCUGGUCUGAGAGGAUGAUCAGCCACACUGGUACUGAGACACGGCCCAGACUCCUACGGGAGGCAGCAGUGGGGAAUAUUGGACAAUGGGCGAAAGCCUGAUCCGGCAAUGCCGCGUGAGUGAUGAAGGCCUUAGGGUUGUAAAGCUCUUUUACCCGGGAUGAUAAUGACAGUACCGGGAGAAUAAGCUCCGGCUAACUCCGUG